rnacentral:rRNA from 1 species
CCUACGGGGGACAGCAGUGAGGAAUAUUGGUCAAUGGACGAGAGUCUGAACCAGCCAAGUAGCGUGAAGGAUGACUGCCCUAUGGGUUGUAAACUUCUUUUAUAUGGGAAUAAAACGUUCCACGUGUGGGAUUUUGUAUGUACCAUAUGAAUAAGGAUCGGCUAACUCCGUGCCAGCAGCCGCGGUAAUACGGAGGAUCCGAGCGUUAUCCGGAUUUAUUGGGUUUAAAGGGAGCGUAGGUGGAUUGUUAAGUCAGUUGUGAAAGUUUGCGGCUCAACCGUAAAAUUGCAGUUGAAACUGGCAGUCUUGAGUACAGUAGAGGUGGGCGGAAUUCGUGGUGGAGCGGUGAAAUGCUUAGAUAUCACGAAGAACUCCGAUUGCGAAGGCAGUUCACUGGACUGCAACUGACACUGAGGCUCGAAAGUGUGGGUAUCAAACAGGAUUAGAUACCCUUGUAGUC